UACAGAGGUCCCAAGCGUUGUUCGGAUUCACUGGGCGUAAAGGGUGCGUAGGUGGUGGGGUAAGUCGGAUGUGAAAGCUCGGAGCUCAACUCCGAAAUGGCAUUGGAAACUACCCUGCUAGAGGAUUGGAGGGGGGACUGGAAUACUUGGUGUAGCAGUGAAAUGCGUAGAUAUCAAGUGGAACACCAGUGGCGAAGGCGAGUCCCUGGACAAUACCUGACACUGAGGCACGAAAGCUAGGGGGGCAAACAGG
rnacentral:rRNA from 1 species